rnacentral:rRNA from 1 species
GAUGAACGCUGGCGGCGUGCCUAAUACAUGCAAGUCGAGCGAACGGACGAGAAGCUUGCUUCUCUGAUGUUAGCGGCGGACGGGUGAGUAACACGUGGAUAACCUACCUAUAAGACUGGGAUAACUUCGGGAAACCGUAGCUAAUACCGGAUAAUAUUUUGAACCGCAUGGUUCAAAAGUGAAAGACGGUCUUGCUGUCACUUAUAGAUGGAUCCGCGCUGCAUUAGCUAGUUGGUAAGGUAACGGCUUACCAAGGCAACGAUGCAUAGCCGACCUGAGAGGGUGAUCGGCCACACUGGAACUGAGACGCGGUCCAGACUCCUACGGGAGGCAGCAGUAGGGAAUCUUCCGCAAUGGGCGAAAGCCUGACGGAGCAACGCCGCGUGAGUGAUGAAGGUCUUCGGAUCGUAAAACUCUGUUAUUAGGGAAGAACAUAUGUGUAAGUAACUGUGCACAUCUUGACGGUACCUAAUCAGAAAGCCACGGCUAACUACGUGCCAGCAGCCGCGGUAAUACGUAGGUGGCAAGCGUUAUCCGGAAUUAUUGGGCGUAAAGCGCGCGUAGGCGGUUUUUUAAGUCUGAUGUGAAAGCCCACGGCUCAACCGUGGAGGGUCAUUGGAAACUGGAAAACUUGAGUGCAGAAGAGGAAAGUGGAAUUCCAUGUGUAGCGGUGAAAUGCGCAGAGAUAUGGAGGAACACCAGUGGCGAAGGCGACUUUCUGGUCUGUAACUGACGCUGAUGUGCGAAAGCGUGGGGAUCAAACAGGAUUAGAUACCCUGGUAGUCCACGCCGUAAACGAUGAGUGCUAAGUGUUAGGGGGUUUCCGCCCCUUAGUGCUGCAGCUAACGCAUUAAGCACUCCGCCUGGGGAGUACGACCGCAAGGUUGAAACUCAAAGGAAUUGACGGGGACCCGCACAAGCGGUGGAGCAUGUGGUUUAAUUCGAAGCAACGCGAAGAACCUUACCAAAUCUUGACAUCCUUUGACAACUCUAGAGAUAGAGCCUUCCCCUUCGGGGGACAAAGUGACAGGUGGUGCAUGGUUGUCGUCAGCUCGUGUCGUGAGAUGUUGGGUUAAGUCCCGCAACGAGCGCAACCCUUAAGCUUAGUUGCCAUCAUUAAGUUGGGCACUCUAAGUUGACUGCCGGUGACAAACCGGAGGAAGGUGGGGAUGACGUCAAAUCAUCAUGCCCCUUAUGAUUUGGGCUACACACGUGCUACAAUGGACAAUACAAAGGGCAGCGAAACCGCGAGGUCAAGCAAAUCCCAUAAAGUUGUUCUCAGUUCGGAUUGUAGUCUGCAACUCGACUACAUGAAGCUGGAAUCGCUAGUAAUCGUAGAUCAGCAUGCUACGGUGAAUACGUUCCCGGGUCU